rnacentral:rRNA from 1 species
GAUGAACGCUAGCUACAGGCUUAACACAUGCAAGUCGAGGGGCAGCACAGUGUAGCAAUACACGGGUGGCGACCGGCGCACGGGUGCGUAACACGUAUCCAAUCUGCCCGUUACUCGGGAUAGCCUUCUGAAAGGAAGAUUAAUACCCGAUAGCAUUCAUUUGCGGCAUCGCUUAUGAAUUAAAGAUUUAUCGGUAACGGAUGAGGAUGCGUACGAUUAGCUUGUUGGCGGGGUAACGGCCCACCAAGGCUACGAUCGUUAGGGGUUCUGAGAGGAAGGUCCCCCACACUGGAACUGAGACACGGUCCAGACUCCUACGGGAGGCAGCAGUGAGGAAUAUUGGUCAAUGGUCGAGAGACUGAACCAGCCAAGUAGCGUGAAGGAUGACUGCCCUAUGGGUUGUAAACUUCUUUUGUUUGGGAAUAAAGUCAGGUACGUGUACCUGUUUGUAUGUACCAUUCGAAUAAGCAUCGGCUAAUUCCGUGCCAGCCGCCGCCGUAAUAC